UUUAUCACGUUAUUUAUCAUAUUUAUUUUUGCAGGUGCCGCCAAUUGCAAGGCAGUACAAGCUGUGCGUCGCGACGAUACCACGUAGCUACCACAUCUGAGUAAACCUGCUUAUCAAUGGGCUAUCAAUGUGUACUAUUGGCGACGCCUUUGCUCGCUAUACUUUAAUACCUACACGUGCACAAUCGAAUAAGCAUCGAGAUGAAGACCCUGUUCCUAACGCGCGCUACACAUAUAUAUAUCGUAAUUAUAUUGCUACGGGAAAUUCAUAAUUUUCACGCCGGCAAUUGGCCCGAUCAAGCCUCGUGAAAGUGCGAGAAAUAGCGAGUUCCGUUGCUGCAAACGCGCGCACAUCGUUAAAAGUACAAGAAGAAGAUACCGAGGAAGUUGCCGGUAGCUCGACCGUCGCAAGAAAUUCAACGUUCUUUGUGUGCACCAUUAGCGAUGCAAAUUUGCAUCUUGUGGUACAUAAUUGGCCGAUAUUGUGCCUUCGUUAAGAAUCCAUUCUGCGAGUUAUCGGCGCCGCGACGCGCAACCGACGGCUUUCUGGUUGAAAGGAAACAUUUCCACGUUACGUUGCGAUUUUCACGCUUCGAUGAUAUUAGCGAGAAGGACGGGAACACAAAAACGUUACGCGAAGGUCUCCAUGGCAAAGGUGAAUUUUUUGUAACACGAUCAGUUCAAGAAUGUCAUGGUCGGCGACGAGAAGUAACAGAAGAGAGAAAAUUUUGUUAUUAACAUGCCUUGCGCUUGGAAAUGGCUCGUACAACAUGUACUAUAUACAAACGGAAUUGCUGCGAAUAAUAAUUAUAUAAAUUAAAUUUGCGUUAAAUGAUAAAACAAGGCGAUAAUAUAUUUGUCACAUAUUUUUCAAUAUAAAUUAUUUCAAAUUGUUCAA